UACGUAGGGGGCAAGCGUUGUCCGGAAUUAUUGGGCGUAAAGAGCUCGUAGGCGGUCUGUUACGUCGGCUGUGAAAACCUGGGGCUCAACUCCGGGCCUGCAGCCGAUACGGGCAGACUAGAGUUCGGCAGGGGAGACUGGAAUUCCUGGUGUAGCGGUGAAAUGCGCAGAUAUCAGGAGGAACACCCGUAGCGAAGGCGGCACUCUGGGCCGAUACUGACACUGAGGAGCGAAAGCGUGGGGAGCGAACAGG
rnacentral:rRNA from 1 species